GUGGGAGUUGCUGGAAUUUGAGUCUGAAAAACAUCUAAAGCAAUGAUUAAACAGAAGCCUUAUGAUUCCAAUGUCAGAGUCCUAUCUAUAAGAAAACCGGGGAUGCAAAUGGUCAGAAUCAUUCCAUGCAAGGAAAUGAUUGCAGUUUGUUUAAAGAAAAAGAACUUUCUGGAGAUGCAGCAGCAGCAAAUCUAUCAGCUCCUUGCAGUGUCAUCAAUCACAGAAGCACAGAAAAAAAGAAAAAGCCAGCUGGACCCAGUACCCAUCCUUGUAAAUUAUUUUUCAGGAAAUCCUGCAGGCUUGGUUUUUUACCAGGAAACAAUUACAGUUUAAUAUAGAGGACCACAGAAUUCACAUGGAACUGAUUUCUAUUUCUUUUUGUUCUGGUUACACAAAGGAAAUGUAAUUUUUCAAAAACCAGCAGAGAAAUACACAAGCACUGGACUAAUAUAGUGGUGCUUGUCACUUACAACUGAGGGAUUGUGUCAUUUCUCAUUGCCAGUCCUGACAGCACCUCAAAUAAAGAGGCGUCUUAGCAAAUUAUGUUCUUGAUAUCGCUUACUGAAAUGCAACGACUCCAUUUUAAAUAUUAAAGUGACAAUGCAAAGACCCAAAGCUGGCUAUGAGGAAAGUUUACCCCAGCUUAACUGAUGGCCCAUUAUAUUGCUCAUGUCAUUAUCUUAAUCUCAUAUAUUUAUCAUGUGUCUUUAAAUGUGCCACGUUAAAAAGCCAGAGGUAAUUUUAUAUUUUAUCUGAAUCCAGGAAAAGAGAUUGUUAAAUUAUCAUCACAAGAUAUUAAAUAACUUGAACCUGUACAGUGACCUUUGAAUAUGCAAAUGGGGUACCUUUUUAACUCCCCACAAAAAAAAUGUGGUUUGCUAAUUGUUAAAAUGAUAAAUGGGAAAAAAAUGGAAGAAACCUGGAAUUUAGUUUGAAGCAAACCUAAUUGAAGGUUUAUGUGAUAAGGAUAAAGAAAAUGUUUUAUAUUUAUGUACAGGUUCAGAAAAUUGAUUGUCUAGAGCUGUUCAAAUCUGUGACUUUGCAGCUGUAAUCAAAACCAGCAGGACAGUUUCUGACUUAUGUCCCUGGCAGAGAACUAGAAGAAUACAUAAUACAUACCCACAAGAGUUUAAGAGAAUUUCAAUAGUUUCUUAGGUAACAAUUUUCAUUCUCUGCAAUUUUCAUUCUCUGCACUUGAGAUGUUUGAAAAAUGAAAGGCUGCAACCCCAAAUCAAACAAUAAUUAAACAUUCAUCUUUACUUUAAAAUGAGCUUUUUAACACCGAGGUACUUACCAAUCUAAUGCCCCCCAAAUGGGGGAUGAACACAACUUCCUGAGAUGAUGACA
rnacentral:lncRNA from 10 species